AACAACUAAAAAUCAUUCAUAAAUUUAGAAUAUUGAAUUUAAUACUACUUACAAUAAAAAUUUCUAAAACAUUAUUAGGGUUUUUAUUAUUAAAGUUUAUACUUGUCCUUAAGACAUUAGGGCUUAUUACAUGUACUAUGAAUGCGCAAGGAAUUAGAAGUGUAUUUUUUGAUGGUUUUGCUUGGAAUUGGAUUAGGAAACCCAA
rnacentral:lncRNA from 1 species